AUUGAACGCUGGCGGCAGGCCUAACACAUGCAAGUCGAACGAGUGGCGGACGGGUGAGUAAUGUCUGGGAAACUGCCCGAUGGAGGGGGAUAACUACUGGAAACGGUAGCUAAUACCGCAUACCAUCGGAUGUGCCCAGAUGGGAUUAGCUAGUGGGUGGGGUAACGGCUCACCUAGGCGACGAUCCCUAGCUGGUCUGAGAGGAUGACCAGCCAAACUUGAACUGAGACACGGUCCAGACUCCUACGGGAUGCAGCGGUGGGGAAUCUUGCACAAUGGGCGCAAGCCUGAUUCAGCCAUGCCGCGUGUAUGAAGAAGGCCUUCGGGUUGUAAAGUGCUUUCAGCGAGGAGGCGGUACUCGAAGAAGAAGCACCGGCUAACUCCGUGCCAGCAGCCGCGGUAAUUG
rnacentral:rRNA from 1 species